UACGUAGGGUGCGAGCGUUGUCCGGAAUUAUUGGGCGUAAAGAGCUCGUAGGCGGUUUGUUGCGUCGGCUGUGAAAACCUACAGCUUAACUGUGAGCCUGCAGUCGAUACGGGGCAGACUAGAGUGCGGUAGGGGGAGACUGGGAAUUCCUGGUGUAGCGGGUGAAAAUGCGCAGAUAUCAGGGAGGGAAACACCCGGGU
rnacentral:rRNA from 1 species